CGCUGGCGGCGUGCCUAAUACAUGCAAGUCGAGCGAACAGAUAAGGAGCUUGCUCCUUUGACGUUAGCGGCGGACGGGUGAGUAACACGUGGGUAACCUACCUAUAAGACUGGAAUAACUUCGGGAAACCGAAGCUAAUGCCGGAUAACAUGUAGAACCGCAUGGUUCUACAGUGAAAGAUGGCCUUGCUAUCACUUAUAGAUGGACCCGCGCCGUAUUAGCUAGUUGGUAAGGUAAUGGCUUACCAAGGCAACGAUACGUAGCCGACCUGAGAGGGUGAUCGGCCACACUGGAACUGAGACACGGUCCAGACUCCUACGGGAGGCAGCAGUAGGGAAUCUUCCGCAAUGGGCGAAAGCCUGACGGAGCAACGCCGCGUGAGUGAUGAAGGUUUUCGGAUCGUAAAGCUCUGUUAUUAGGGAAGAACAAGUGCGUAAGUAACUAUGCGCACCUUGACGGUACCUAAUCAGAAAGCCACGGCUAACUACGUGCCAGCAGCCGCGGUAAUACGUAGGUGGCAAGCGUUAUCCGGAAUUAUUGGGCGUAAAGCGCGCGUAGGCGGUUUCUUAAGUCUGAUGUGAAAGCCCACGGCUCAACCGUGGAGGGUCAUUGGAAACUGGGAGACUUGAGUGCAGAAGAGGAAAGUGGAAUUCCAUGUGUAGCGGUGAAAUGCGCAGAGAUAUGGAGGAACACCAGUGGCGAAGGCGACUUUCUGGUCUGUAACUGACGCUGAUGUGCGAAAGCGUGGGGAUCAAACAGGAUUAGA
rnacentral:rRNA from 1 species